CUAUUGUAAUGUCCUGCCCACCGGUGAAAGAGCUAAUGGACCUCUGGCCUGCUCUUCAUAUGCAGUCUGAGGUAUAUGUAGAGUUCCAACGGAUAACUAACCAGAACCUACCUAACACUUUCUAUGCCGAGCUUGAUCGCCACACUCCUCGUUUGAUGGCCUUAUUUAGACAGAAAGCUUCCAAAACUGAAAAGACUGCAGAUGCUUUGGCAAACAUUUUCAAAGUCCAUGAUACACAGGAAUUACAUGAUGUCCACACAAAGGCGUACCACUGUUCUCCAUGCCCUUCCUGAUUAUCUACUAGAGGAAGUCUCUGGAUUUUUCAGAACAUGUGUGGAUGAUAUGGAUGAGCCAGACCUGUGGGAUGCAUCAGUGGUCCUCCUUACAACAGUCAGUGAUGAUGCCACAAGCCCAGUUCACUACCACCCAGUGAGAGUCUCUGUCGUCCUAGAGGGUGAUGUGGUUGUCAAUCUCCCCAGGCUUGCUGAUGCCUUCCUGGUAAUGUUCGGCCUGAUUUAUGCACUACAUCUCAGCUAUCCCAAGGGACUGACAAACACUUUUGAGUUCACACAGAAAAUCUUGCUUGGUCUUGAUGACUCUAAACUGUCACCCAAGCUGCAGACUCUUAAAAAUGAGCUGAUGUUGUAUGUGUAACUGAAGAUCCAAAAAGGAGUGGUGGAUUCUGAUGGCUCACUCUGUUAGAGCAUAAUCCAUAAUGAGAAUAUGUCAUGUCAGGUCCAUGUUGAAUACUGUUCAACUGUUUAUGUUAAAGUUGCUGCUCUACUCAACUGGUUUUCAGCCAAAUGGCACAAAGUACACACUGUCUUUGUACAUUUUAAU